rnacentral:rRNA from 1 species
UUGCAGAAAGACAGCCGGCAGAGCACAGGGUGUGUCAACUAUGAUUGUCCUGGUAUCCAGCUUGUGAGCGGGUCUCCAAUAUUCCCCGGAGAUGUCAUAGCCCCAGUAGCCCAGGUUAACAGGACACAACAAACUAUCACCAUUAAGCUGUUCAGGACCAAGUUGAACGGGAACUGGUGGUUGCAUGCUGGUGUAAACGACGAGGACCCGAUCCCGGUCGCCUACUUCCCGGCGUCACUAUUUGACGACUUCUUCUACAAAGCAACUCAAGUCGUGUUGGGUGGCCAUACUCUCAAGUCUAAGACUACCACACCUCCUCCAAUGGGCAGUGGAGCCUUCGGCGCUGAGUGGGACAAUGCGGCGCUGAUCCGAGACAUUCAUGUCAUCAUGGAGAAUGGGAGGAGCAACUUUAUCGACGAUGAUCUGUCCACCGAUGUCACUGAUGUCAAGCUUUACUCCCUCUCGCCAAUUUCAGCAGGCAAAUUCACUUACGGAGGACCAGGAAGGAAGAACUAG